ACUGACACAAAACAGCCUUUAAUAGCUGUCCACUGUAGUGACCACUAUGCGUGAAAGGGUUAAUGUCGAUCCCGUUGAAGAGCCGUGAGCUUUUCCAAGAUUUUAUCCAUAUUGUGUUCAUAUAUUUCUACCUUUGAUGUUUCCUAUGCAAAUAUUGAGAUGACUUCCACCUACUUAUCUUACUGCUGAGAGUCUGCAGAGAACAGUGGACUGACAGAGUUUAACAAGAUGGACUCUAAGACAGUGCUGCUAAUUCUGACUCUCUACUGUGCAGGUGUAAAUUGUCAGACUCUGACAGAAUCUGAACCAGUGGAUAAAAGGCCUGGAGAAUCCCAUAAAUUGACCUGCACAACCUCUGGAUUCACAUUCAGCAGCUACAGUAUGGAUUGGAUUAGACAGGCACCGGGCAAAGGGCUGGAGUGGAUUGCUUAUAUCAGUAGUGGUGGUGGUAGCAACACUUACUACUCUCAGUCAGUUCAAGGCCGGUUUACCAUCUCCAGAGACAACAGCAAACAGCAGCUGUAUCUGCAGAUGAACAAUCUGAAGACUGAAGAUUCUGCAGUUUAUUAUUGUGCUCGAGAGCCACAGUGACUGAAAGUGUUUGAGCAGCUGUACAAAAUCCUAUUUGAAUUCACCCUCAAAACAACAUCCUUGUUUUGAGUUUUGUUAUGUUUUUUUUAAGAUUCAAUAACAAUAAUAAAUUCUGCUA